UACGUAGGGUGCAAGCGUUAAUCGGAAUUACUGGGCGUAAAGCGUGCGCAGGCGGCUUUGCAAGACAGAUGUGAAAUCCCCGGGCUUAACCUGGGAACUGCAUUUGUGACUGCAUGGCUGGAGUGCGGCAGAGGGGGAUGGAAUUCCGCGUGUAGCAGUGAAAUGCGUAGAUAUGCGGAGGAACACCGAUGGCGAAGGCAAUCCCCUGGGCCUGCACUGACGCUCAUGCACGAAAGCUAGGGGAGCAAACGGG
rnacentral:rRNA from 1 species